rnacentral:rRNA from 1 species
AUUGAACGCUGGCGGCAUGCCUUACACAUGCAAGGCGAACGGUAACAGGCCGCAAGGUGCUGACGUGUGGCGAACGGAUUAGUACUGCAUCGGAACGUGCCCAGUCGGGGGGGAUCACUGCUCGAAUGAGCAGCUAAGACCGCAUCCGACCUGAUGGUGAAAGCGGGGGACCGUAAGGCCUCGCGCGAUGUGAGCGGCCGAGGUCAGAUUAGCUAGUUGGUGGGGUAAAGGACUACCAAGCAACGAUCUGUAGUUGGUCUGAGAGGACGACCAGCCACACUGGGACUGGGACACGGCCCAGACUCCUACGGGAGGCAGCAGUGGGGAAUUUUGGACAAUGGGCGGAAGCCUGAUCCAGCAAUGCCGCGUGCAGGAAGAAGGCCUUCGGGUUGUAAACUGCUUUUGUCAGGGAAGAAAUCUUCUGGGUUAAUACCUCGGGAGAAUGACGGUACCUGAAGAAUAAGCACCGGCUAACUACGUGCCAGCCGCCGCCGUAACAC